rnacentral:misc_RNA from 1 species
AAAAAAAAAAACCCAAUAAUCAUAGAUAUGUUUAACCAAACAUAUCAAAAUAACCAAUAUAAAAAGCAUUAAUAAGCUUAGAAAAAUACAUAAAAUAAAAAUAAACUUCACCAUUAACAAUACUUUUUACUCUUUAAGAGAAUACUAAAAGAACAACAACAAAGCAAAGAACACUAUAAGAACUUGCUAGAAAAUAAACUAAACCCAAAUUUUGGACAUUCAAAAACAAACUCCAGACUUUUGGAAUCCACAAACAAACCCAAAUAGCACUGUAAGUGUUAUUGGAAAAAUAAAAAGAGUUGGGUUGGGGGGGGGGGGG